UGGUUGUAGGAGAAGUCAUCUGCACAAAAUUCGCUAAGCGCACAAAAACUAUACGCUAAACGAAUAAACCAGUUUUUUUUCUUUUGGAGUUUUUCUUUUUUCUUUUUUUUUUAAAAAAAAGCAAAAUUAGCUUAUCACACUUAAGGAUAUACGCUUUGCUAAUCACUUUGAAUUUUUCUUUUUAUUUUAUUUAUUUAUUUUUAUUUAUUUUUUAUUAUUUUUUUUAAACAUGGAGAACAUUAG
rnacentral:lncRNA from 1 species